rnacentral:lncRNA from 1 species
CCAGUUGUGUGUGUGGCUAUUUGCCUCUGCUCAUUCUGACAUGUAAGGUAUUUUAAUAUUAACUUGCCUUGGCAACUCAUGAUCACAAUGAAAGACAGUGUAGCAGGAUAUGACAUAUUGAUGCUCUUAAGCGCUGCUGAUCUUUAUAUUUUGUUUACCCCAAUAUGAAAUUGUUUCCAAUAGCGACAUUUUUAGUCCCUGUUGACAGAUUUUUAAUCUGCAUUAUCAGCUCUCAGACCUUGUUUCUGUCAGUAUACCUUCUGAAAGCAAUGACCACUUAUUAGUGGCCUGUUUGUUUUGUGCUGAGAAACCAGUGGGCUCUUUUAGAAUGUAUAAACCGAGUAGGAAUUUAGAGUGCCAAAAUUGGCCUGAAAAUCUCUCUUCCAACUAAUAGUUAGCUUUUAGAAACUUUUUUGGGGGUGAGGAGGAUCCAAGCUUUGUACUGUUGCAUUAAAUUUGAGAUUUAAGUUUUAACAGGAUUUUUUUCAUUUUUAAUGACAUUUAUUGUUUUUUGUGUAUGUGUAGUUUUACAAGGAGUAG